UGGGGAAUAUUGGACAAUGGGCGAAAGCCUGAUCCAGCAAUUCCGCGUGUGUGAAGAAGGCCUUCGGGUUGUAAAGCACUUUAGUGGGGGAAGAAACAGCUUGGCCACACCAAGCCUUGACGGUACCCCAAGAAUAAGCACCGGCUAACUCUGUGCCAGCAGCCGCGGUAAUACAGAGGGGGCAAGCGUUAAUCGGAUUUACUGGGCGUAAAGGGUGCGUAGGUGGUUUUUUAAGUCGGAUGUGAAAGCCUGGUGCUCAACCUCAGAAUUGCAUUCGAUACUGGGAAACUAGAGUUCGGUAGAGGGCGGCGGAAUUUCCGGUGUAGCGGUGAAAUGCGUAGAUAUCGGAAGGAACAUCAAUGGCGAAGGCAGCCGCCUGGGCCUGGACUGACACUGAGGCACGAAAGCGUGGGUAGCAAACA
rnacentral:rRNA from 1 species